AGACAAGAUUCCGGGCCCUACGGGGCGCAGCAGGCGCGAAACCUUUACACUGCACGCCAGUGCGAUAAGGGGAUCCCGAGUGCACAGGCAUAGAGCCUGUGCUUUUCUGAACCGUAGGGAGGUUCAGGAACAAGAGCUGGGCAAGACCGGUGCCAGCCGCCGCGGUAAUACCGGCAGCUCGAGUGAUGGCCGAUCUUAUUGGGCCUAAAGCGUCCGUAGCUGGCCUUGCAAGUCCGUCGGGAAAUCCACCCGCUCAACGGGUGGGCGUCCGGCGGAAACUGUGAGGCUUGGGACCGGGAGGCUUGAAGGGUACGUCCGGGGUAGGAGUGAAAUCCCGUAAUCCUGGACGGACCGCCGAUGGGGAAACCACUUCAAGAGAACGGAUCCGACAGUGAGGGACGAAAGCUAGGGUCUCGAACCGGAUUAGAUACCCGGGUAGUCCUAGCUGUAAACGAUGCCUGUUAGGUGUGACUCCCACUACGAGUGGGUGUUGUGCCGUAGGGAAGCCGCUAAACAGGCCGCCUGGGAAGUACGUCUGCAAGGAUGAAACUUAAAGGAAUUGGCGGGGGAGCACUACAACCGGAGGAGCCUGCGGUUUAAUUGGACUCAACGCCGGACAUCUCACCAGCAUCGACUGUGGUAAUGACGGUCAGGUUGAUGACCUUACCCGAGCCACAGAGAGGAGGUGCAUGGCCGCCGUCAGCUCGUACCGUGAGGCGUCCUGUUAAGUCAGGCAACGAGCGAGACCCGCAUCCUUACUUGCCAGCAGCACCGUGAGGUGGCUGGGGACAGUAGGGAGACCGCCGUGGCUAACACGGAGGAAGGAACGGGCAACGGUAGGUCAGUAUGCCCCGAAUAUGCUGGGCAACACGCGGGCUACAAUGGUCGAGACAAUGGGUUCCAACGCCGAGAGGCGACGGUAAUCUCAGAAACUCGAUCGUAGUUCGGAUUGUGGACUGAAACUCGUCCACAUGAAGCUGGAUUCGGUAGUAAUCGC
rnacentral:rRNA from 1 species